UGUUCCUGGAACAGAGUCACUGUGAGGAUGA
rnacentral:piRNA from 1 species